UACGUAGGGUCCGAGCGUUUGUCCGGAAUUAUUGGGCGUAAAGAGCUCGUAGGCGGUUUGUCGCGUCUGCUGUGAAAUCCCGAGGCUCAACCUCGGGUCUGCAGUGGGUACGGGCAGACUGGAGUGCGGUAGGGGAGAAUGGAAUUCCUGGUGUAGCGGUGAAAUGCGCAGAUAUCAGGAGGAACACCGGUGCGAAGGCGGUCUCUGGGCCUUACCUGACACUGGAGGAGCGAAAGCGUGGGGAGCGAACAGGAUUAGAACCUACCCGAGUCA
rnacentral:rRNA from 1 species